GGAAGGAUCAUUANNGAGUGCGGGUUCCAACGAGCCCAACCUCCCACCCGUGUUUACUGUUACCGCGUUGCCUCGGCGGGCCCACUGGGGCCUGGCCCCGGUCGCCGGGGGCUUCUGCCCCGGCCCGCGCCCGCCGAAGCACCCUAGAACCCUGCCUGAACAGUGAGUCUGAGUGAGAGAUUGAAUCAUUAAAACUUUCAACAACGGAUCUCUUGGUUCCGGCAUCGAUGAAGAACGCAGCGAAAUGCGAUAAGUAAUGUGAAUUGCAGAAUUCCGUGAAUCAUCGAAUCUUUGAACGCACAUUGCGCCCCCUGGCAUUCCGGGGGGCAUGCCUGUCCGAGCGUCAUUUCUGCCCUCCAGCACGGCUGGGUGUUGGGCGCUGUCCCCCCGGGACACGCCCCAAAAGCAGUGGCGGCGCCGCGUCGGGUCCUCGAGCGUAUGGGGCUUUGUCACCCGCUCGGGAGGGACUCGGUCGGCGCUGGUCUUCCUUUUAGGCAGCCCUUCGGGGUCGCGCCUCUUCCGGUUGACCUCGGAUCAGGUAGGGCUACCCGCUGAACUUAAGAUAUCAAUAAG
rnacentral:rRNA from 1 species